AUAAUUACUUUUAUACAUUGUAACAAAAUUUAGUGGUUUUUUAGACUUGUAUAUUGCUGGAGCAAUUUAUAGAAAGAAUAUACUGUUUAUUAUUGUUGUUCUUAUUUUUGCUUUUGUCAGCAAGUAUCAUAUAAACAGCUGACGAGGACAUUGAAGCAAUUAAAAGAGAAGAAGAGGAAGGAAAGGAGGAGGAAGAGAAUGAAAAAAACAAAAUAAAGGACAACAAUGAAGAAAGUAAUGAAAAGGAAUGACUUGUGAUGCCUGAAAGUUUUUUGUUUGGGAUGUUCCUGAUAUUAAGAAAGGAUUCCUUGGUGAGAGCCAAGUACCUGGAGAAGAGGGACUCUACCGUUUAAAAACUGAAGGUGUCAAUAUGCAGGAACUGUGGAAGCAUUCUGAUCUGCUCAAUGUUAGGAAAGUAUAUACUAACACUAUACACACUAUUGCCUCCACUUUUGGCAUUUAAGCUGCUGCUGUAGCCAUUAUCAAAGAAGUAUCAAGUGUAUUCAAUGUGUAUGGCAUAUCAGUUAAUCAUCGUCACCUGUCCCUUAUUGCUGAUUACAUGACAUUUGAUGGAGACUACAAGUCCUUCAGUAGGUUUGGUAUGAACAGUAACAGCUCUCCAUUCCAACAGAUGAGUUUUGAGACUACUAUGAAGUUUUUAAGAAGUGCAACAGUUAGAGGAGAUGUUGGUACUCUUCAGUCACCAUCAGCUUGUCUGGUGACUGGUAAUGUGGUCCAUGGAGGGACUGGAGCUUUUCAAUGUUUACAAAAACUAUUUAUGUGA